rnacentral:tRNA from 1 species
GCCGGGAUAGCUCAGUUGGUAGAGCAGCGCUUUCGUAAAGCGCAGGUCGUCGGUUCAAGUCCGAUUCCCGGCUCCA